GGCGGACGGGUGAGGAAUGCGUCGGAAUCUGCCUAUUUGUGGGGGAUAACGUAGGGAAACUUACGCUAAUACCGCAUACGACCUACGGGUGAAAGUGGGGGACCGCAAGGCCUCACGCAGAUAGAUGAGCCGACGCCGGAUUAGCUAGUUGGCGGGGUAAAGGCCCACCAAGGCGACGAUCCGUAGCUGGUCUGAGAGGAUGAUCAGCCACACUGGAACUGAGACACGGUCCAGACUCCUACGGGAGGCAGCAGUGGGGAAUAUUGCACAAUGGGCGAAAGCCUGAUGCAGCGACGCCGCGUGAGGGAUGACGGCCUUCGGGUUGUAAACCUCUUUCAGCAGGGAAGAAGCGAGAGUGACGGUACCUGCAGAAGAAGCGCCGGCUAACUACGUGCCAGCAGCCGCGGUAAUACGUAGGGCGCAAGCGUUGUCCGGAAUUAUUGGGCGUAAAGAGCUCGUAGGCGGCUUGUCACGUCGGGUGUGAAAGCCCGGGGCUUAACCCCGGGUCUGCAUCCGAUACGGGCAGGCUAGAGUGUGGUAGGGGAGACUGGAAUUCCUGGUGUAGCGGUGAAAUGCGCAGAUAUCAGGAGGAACACCGGUGGCGAAGGCGGGUCUCUGGGCAACAACUGACGCUGAGGAGCGAAAGCGUGGGGAGCGAACAGGAUUAGAUACCCUGGUAGUCC
rnacentral:rRNA from 1 species